GCGCCGCGCAACUCAGACCACUGGAGGUUCAAGAGAUUCUUCUGCCUCAGCCUCCCAAGUAGCUGGCACUGCAGACACGCACCACCACACCCAGGCUACACAGAACAACAUCAUUAGCAACAUUGUUUCAGCAAGGAAAUAAUCCUUAUUGGCAAAGGGAAACCAAGGAAAGAAAACUAUUGUUUUCUUCGGCUACAUGCUGUCUGCAAAGCACCCCAUGGAUUCAAUUUCUCAUCAAUUCAGAAUGGAAUACUAACGUGCUGCCUAGAGAUACAGAAGUGGGAUGAACGCAGGGCCUUACUCAGCAUUCAGAACAAAACUGAUGGUGCUAGCAUAUAUAAGACUGAAACACCAAAGUCCUCCGUGGAAGUUAAUGAAUUUCUACUCUUCUGGUCUGUGUUAUGGCUCGAGCUGAGCUUUUGCUCACGGUCCACCACUGCUGUUUGCUGCUGUCGCAGACCCGCCACUGACUUCCACCCAUCUGGAUCCAGCAGGAUGUCCGCUGACCUCCUGAUCCAGUGAAGUGCCCAUUGCAACUCCAGAUCAGGCUAAAGGCUCGCCAUUGUUCCUGCACGGCUAAGUGCCCAGGAUCUCAAAGUUUGCACCCAAGACGAAUCAUCAUCCAUAAAAAUUCCACUAUAUCUUCUUGGCUUUUAAGGUAUAAAACUCCACUUGUCUUGGAAACAAAUUGUACAGAGUAGAGUCUGGAAAAAGCUACAACUUUAGUUUUACAGCAUGGGGAUUAUUACUAUUCACCAUGUGUACCUACGUCUGCACAGGAAACAAAAAGACUCAGCACAGCCUCAGCUUCCAAAUUCUGAAACAUUUUGUGAGACCCCAUAAAAGCAAUGAUGAUCUUGGGAUCCAGCUAGAUCUGUUUUUCGUGCGGUCAUUUCCAGGAGCAACAAGCAAGACCAGGGGUCUCCUUGUCCUUGCUGCAUCAUGUUCGGAUCUGCUAAAUGCAGUGCAAGCUGUUGAAGGAAUUUUGAGGAUGAAAAUUUUGAAUAUAAUGUUGAUUUCAUCAUUGAAACUGUCAGGAUAACAGAGGAAUACUUUCAUAAAGCCUUUUAAAUCUUCAGCUAUUUGUUCCUAGGCAAAGCAUCCCUUCAUUCCUGUCAGUUUCUCUGUCCCCUCACUCCCUUCACAUACAAAUCCCAUGUAUCUUUGUAUUUAUGUAAUGAUUCAAUGAAAUAAAAAUAUUAUAGCAGUUUUGGCUAAUACU